ACGCAGCAGGGCGGGGGUUAGGGGGAGCAGUCGGUAGCAGCACCUGCCCCUCGUACGGCAGGAGCGAGAAGUGCCAGCCUCUCUGCACAGAGGAGCAGCGUUCAGCCUGUGCCAGACGUGCUGGGGUGAUGGCAUGAGGACGUCACGGCCAAUGUGAUGCGCCAGCUCCGUAUCAUGCGGCACUUGCCCCAGGUGCCCGAGGCGCUGCAGGGCCUGUGCCUCUGAGGCCACCAGCAACUCCCGCUCCCUGCUGCAGUUUGGGAUGAGCGCGACCCAGGAAGGAGUGGACUAAAAGAUGGUCGCCUGGUCGAAGGGCUGAGUUCCCAGCCAAAUCAUGCUGGCGGGCGUGCUAGCCCAAGAAAUCUGUGACCCCAGGCCUUGAAGGAAGGGGCACCUAUCGGCUCUGAGCAAGGCCUGCCCAGAGAACAUGGAUUACGAGCUCUCGAUCCUGCUGACAGCACCCCCCAGCACAGACAAACUCCAGCACAUCUUGGAGGUGAGCAGAAUGGGGAGGGGCAGCAGGGGUUUUA